AUUGAACGCUGGCGGCAUGCCUUACACAUGCAAGUCGAACGGCAGCACGGGUGCUUGCACCUGGUGGCGAGUGGCGAACGGGUGAGUAAUACAUCGGAACGUACCUUAUCGUGGGGGAUAACGCAGCGAAAGCUGUGCUAAUACCGCAUACGCCCUGAGGGGGAAAGCGGGGGAUCGCAAGACCCCGCUCGGUUAGAGCGGCCGAUGCCUGAUUAGCUUGUUGGUGGGGUAAAAGCCCACCAAGGCGACGACCAGUAGCUGGUCUGAGAGGACGAUCAGCAACACUGGGACUGAGACACGGCCCAGACUCCUCGGGAGGCAGCAGUGGGGAAUUUUGGACAAUGGGGGCAACCCAGAUCCAGCAAUGCCGCGUGAGUGAAGAAGGCCUUCGGGUUGUAAAGCUCUUUUGUCAGGGAAGAAACACCGGCUCUAACACAGUCCGGGAAUGACGGUACCUGAAGAAUAAGCACCGGCUAACUACGUGCCAGCCGCCGCGUAA
rnacentral:rRNA from 1 species